GUGCCCAUAGCUCAGAUGGUAGAGCAGCUGACUUUUAAUCAGCGGGUCGCAGGUUCGAGUCCUGCUGGGCACACCA
rnacentral:tRNA from 1 species